rnacentral:rRNA from 1 species
UUGAGCGUACAUGUUGGUACCCGAAAGAUGGUGAUCUAUGCCUGGCCAGGAUGAAGCCAGAGGAAACUCUGGUGGAGGUCCCGUAGCGGUUCUGACGUGCAAAUCGAUCGUCGGAGCUGGGUAUAGGGGCGAAAGACCAAUCGAACCAUCUAGUAGCUGGUUCCCUCCGAAGUUUCCCUCAGGAUAGUUGGCAUUCGCUAAAAUGGCGAUAACGCGCGGCCGGGAAUGGCUGGCGGGCCGCUUGCUUCGGCGGAGGGGUCGCUUGGCGGCGGCGUAAGGAGCGGGAUGGGCUGACGCCUACCUCGUUUUCCCGAAACCGCCUAACCUCGCGCCCUCUCUCGUUCGGGUAAGGUCUUGGUCCGUCUUAGCCCUCUCGCGUCGUUCGCGUAACCCGAGCAAUUUCGAAAGACUUUCAUCUUGUAAAGAGAAUGAUUAGGGGUCCUUGGGGACGAAAUGUCCUCAGCCCAUUCUCAAACUCUAAACGGGUGAGAAACCGGGCUUGCUUCAUUGAAGCCGCGGUUUUCGAAUCUCGAAUGCCUAAUGGGCCAUUUUUGGUAAGCAGAACUGGCGAUGUGGGAUGAACCAAACGCCGAGUUAAGGGGCCUAAGUGUUGGCCGAUUUCAGAUCCCGUGAAAGGCGUUGGUCGCUUA